AGUGGCAGCGCGCGUGUGAUUUUUUUUCCAGGCCUUUGCUCCUCCCACAGACGCGUUGCGUGGGAGAGAGACGUAUUGUCCUCCUUUCCUUUUUUUUUUAAACUGUGGGAAAAUGUGCGAGAAGACAUGACUCGGGGGCACAACCUCUGAAAUCAGCCUGCUUAGAUCCAAAUCCUGGCUCUACCACAUACCAUCUGAACUCUUUCCAUCAAGUUAUUUCACUUCUCUGGGUCUCAGUUUCCUGAUCUGUAAUAAUCAUAUUUACUUCAGAAGACUAUCAUGAAGAAUAAAAGAAUUCACAUUUGAAAAGGGCUUAAAACAGGUUUGUCGAUGAGGCAGAUCAGAUUCCGAUUUGAUGGGCAACCAAUUAAUGGAACAGACACACCUGCACGGUUGGAAAUGGAGGAUGAAGAUACAAUUGAUGUGUUCAGCAACAGACAGGAGGGUCUACUAAAGAGCGAACCUGUGACUUUACUCCAGAACCCCGUUCUUACAGACCAAGAGUACAUGCUCAAUUAGAAGACGGCAAUUUGGUCCCCCCACAUCUUUACUACUACGAGAUUUGCUAGAAUUCUGUCCUGGGUCCCUCUGGAUCUGGCGCGUCAUGCACCUUGACCAUCAACCGUGGGUCCCGCUGAGUCUCUGGAUCAGCUCAAGCCUCGGUCAGGAAAGCUGAAAAUCAAGAAGAGGCGACACUGCAAGACCAAGAAUUCCAUGCAUCAGAAUGUCCACUUGUUUGAGUUCUUCCAACUGCUG